rnacentral:rRNA from 1 species
GGACCCGGGAGGAGUUAGGAGUAUUCUGGGGGNAGCGGUAAAAUGCUAUAAUCCUUGGAAGACUACCUGUGGCGAAGGCGCCUAACCAGAACGGAUUUCGACAGUGAGGGACGAAAGCUAGGGGAGCGAACCGGAUUAGAUACCCGAGUAGUCCUAGCAGUAAACGCUGCGAGCUAGGCGUUGCAGGAUCUUCGGGAUUCUGCAGUGUCGCAGUGAAGACGUUAAGCUCGCCGCCUGGGAAGUACGGUCGCAAGGCUGAAACUUAAAGGAAUUGGCGGGGGAGCACUACAACGAGUGGAGCGUGCGGUUUAAUCUAAUUUUACACUGAGAAUCUCACCAGAAGCGACUGCAGGAUGAAAGUCAGGUUGAUGGCCUUACUAGACGAGCAGAGAGGUAGUGCAUGGCCGUCGUAAGCUCGUGCCGUAAGGUGUCCUCUUAAGUGGGGCAACGAGCGAGACCUACAUCUACAGUUGCUAGCAACUUCUUUAGAAGGAUUGAGCACACUGUAGAGACUGCCCGGGAAACUGGGAGGAAGGCGUAGGCAAUGACAGGUCUGUAUGCUCCGAAUCUUCUGGGCUACACGCGCGCAACAAUGGUAGGAACAAUGGGCUGCAACUCCGAAAGGAGGAGCUAAUCCUCGAAAUCCUAUCUUAGUCCUGAUUGAGGGUUGUAACUCACCCUCAUGAUGCUGGAAUUCGUAGUAAUACGGGUGUUAUCAGCGCCCGGGAAUA